AGUCUUUUACUUGUUUCAGUCAUUUGACUGCGGCCAAGCUGGAGCAGUCAAAUGACUGUUCCAGCAUGGCCGCAGUCGAGCAAAUAAACCCCAGGACUUAUUCUUUGAAACUCGCCGCGUACCGGCAGCUGAUGGCUCACGGACCGGCACCAGUCCGCGGACCACCACUUUGAGUAGAACUGAUGUACAUCUUGUUGAUAAGCCAUAAAAAUGACGAAAUAUUGAUAUCCAUCGCUCCUGAAUUCGAUUUGAGUCGAGUUUUAACACCUGCGCUUUGAGGUGGUGUUGCGCUACACCGCAACCUACCGACGAACAAGCAAGGAUCAGACAUUGAGUAUGCGUGGUCGAUAAUGUUUAACACACUAGCGCUCCUUCUAAUUCGUAUUUGAAUAUGUUCUUAUACAUACCAGUAAAUGUUUUUUACACAAUUUGUACACAAUUCAA